rnacentral:tRNA from 1 species
AGGAUUAUAGUUAAAAAUAACACCUGGGUUGCAUUCAGGAAGUACUAUAAAAAGUUUAUCUUU